rnacentral:rRNA from 1 species
GACGAACGCUGGCGGCGUGCUUAACACAUGCCAGUCGAACGAAGAGCGAUGGAAGCUUGCUUCUAUCAAUCUUAGUGGCGAACGGGUGAGUAACACGUAAUCAACCUGCCCUUCAGAGGGGGACAACAGUUGGAAACGACUGCUAAUACCGCAUACGAUCUAAUCUCGGCAUCGAGGAUAGAUGAAAGGUGGCCUCUACAUGUAAGCUAUCACUGAAGGAGGGGAUUGCGUCUGAUUAGCUAGUUGGAGGGGUAACGGCCCACCAAGGCGAUGAUCAGUAGCCGGUCUGAGAGGAUGAACGGCCACAUUGGGACUGAGACACGGCCCAGACUCCUACGGGAGGCAGCAGUGGGGAAUCUUCCGCAAUGGACGAAAGUCUGACGGAGCAACGCCGCGUGAGUGAUGACGGCCUUCGGGUUGUAAAGCUCUGUUAAUCGGGACGAAAGGCCUUCUUGCGAAUAGUGAGAAGGAUUGACGGUACCGGAAUAGAAAGCCACGGCUAACUACGUG